rnacentral:rRNA from 1 species
UGGGGAAUAUUGGACAAUGGGGGCAACCCUGAUCCAGCAAUUCCGCGUGUGUGAAGAAGGCCUGCGGGUUGUAAAGCACUUUCAGUAGCCAAGAUGGGAUUUUUUGUUAAUACCAAAAAGUCUUGACAUUAACUACAGAAGAAGCACCGGCUAACUCCGUGCCAGCAGCCGCGGUAAUACGGAGGGUGCAAGCGUUAAUCGGAAUUACUGGGCGUAAAGAGCACGUAGGCGGCUUUGCAAGUCGGGUGUGAAAUCCCUGAGCUUAACUCAGGAACUGCAUUCGAUACUGCAUCGCUAGAGUAUGUUAGAGGAUAGUGGAAUUCCAGGUGUAGCGGUGAAAUGCGUAGAUAUCUGGAGGAACACCAAUGGCGAAGGCAGCUAUCUGGAGCAAUACUGACGCUGAGGUGCGAAAGCGUGGGGAGCGAACAGG